UACAGAGGUCUCAAGCGUUGUUCGGAUUCAUUGGGCGUAAAGGGUGCGUAGGCGGCGCGGUAAGUCGGGUGUGAAAUCUCGGAGCUUAACUCCGAAACUGCAUUCGAUACUGCCUGUGCUUGAGGACUGGAGAGGAGACUGGAAUUUACGGUGUAGCGGUGAAAUGCGUAGAUAUCGUAAGGAAGACCAGUGGCGAAGGCGGGUCUCUGGACAGUUCCUGACGCUGAGGCACGAAGGUCAGGGGAGCAAACGGGAUUAGAACG
rnacentral:rRNA from 1 species